rnacentral:rRNA from 1 species
AUUGAACGCUGGCGGCAGGCCUAACACAUGCAAGUCGAGCGGAUGAAGGGAGCUUGCUCCUGGAUUCAGCGGCGGACGGGUGAGUAAUGCCUAGGAAUCUGCCUGGUAGUGGGGGAUAACGUCCGGAAACGGGCGCUAAUACCGCAUACGUCCUGAGGGAGAAAGUGGGGGAUCUUCGGACCUCACGCUAUCAGAUGAGCCUAGGUCGGAUUAGCUAGUUGGUGGGGUAAAGGCCUACCAAGGCGACGAUCCGUAACUGGUCUGAGAGGAUGAUCAGUCACACUUGAACUGAGACACGGUCCAGACUCCUACGGGAGGCAGCAGUUGGGAAUAUUGGACAAUGGGCGGAAGCCUGAUCCAGCCAUGCCGCGUGUGUGAAGAAGGUCUUCCGAUUGUAAAGCACUUUAAGUUGGGAGGAAGGGCAGUAAGUUAAUACCUUGCUGUUUUGACGUUACCAACAGAAUAAGCACCGGCUAACUUCGUG